rnacentral:rRNA from 1 species
GAUGAACGCUGGCGGCGUGCCUAAUACAUGCAAGUCGAGCGAACAGACGAGGAGCUUGCUCCUCUGACGUUAGCGGCGGACGGGUGAGUAACACGUGGAUAACCUACCUAUAAGACUGGGAUAACUUCGGGAAACCGGAGCUAAUACCGGAUAAUAUAUUGAACCGCAUGGUUCAAUAGUGAAAGACGGUUUUGCUGUCACUUAUAGAUGGAUCCGCGCCGCAUUAGCUAGUUGGUAAGGUAACGGCUUACCAAGGCAACGAUGCGUAGCCGACCUGAGAGGGUGAUCGGCCACACUGGAACUGAGACACGGUCCAGACUCCUACGGGAGGCAGCAGUAGGGAAUCUUCCGCAAUGGGCGAAAGCCUGACGGAGCAACGCCGCGUGAGUGAUGAAGGUCUUCGGAUCGUAAAACUCUGUUAUUAGGGAAGAACAGAUGUGUAAGUAACUGUGCACGUCUUGACGGUACCUAAUCAGAAAGCCACGGCUAACUACGUG